rnacentral:rRNA from 1 species
GAUGAACGCUGGCGGCGUGCCUAAUACAUGCAAGUCGAGCGAAUGGAUUAAGAGCUUGCUCUUAUGAAGUUAGCGGCGGACGGGUGAGUAACACAUGGGUAACCUGCCCAUAAGACUGGGAUAACUCCGGGAAACCGGGGCUAAUACCGGAUAACAUUUUGAAUCGCAUGGUUCGAAAUUGAAAGGCGGCUUCGGCUGUCACUUAUGGAUGGACCCGCGUCGCAUUAGCUAGUUGGUGAGGUAACGGCUCACCAAGGCAACGAUGCGUAGCCGACCUGAGAGGGGGAUCGGCCACACGGGGACUGAGACACGGCCCAGACUCCUACGGGAGGCAGCAGUAGGGAAUCUUCCGCAAUGGACGAAAGUCUGACGGAGCAACGCCGCGUGAGUGAUGAAGGCUUUCGGGUCGUAAAACUCUGUUGUUAGGGAAGAACAAGUGCUAGUUGAGUAAGCUGGCACCUUGACGGUACCUAACCAGAAAGCCACGGCUAACUACGUGCCAGCCGCCGCAGUAA